UGCAGAUAAAGAAACAAGUUCAGAAAAGAGCUGUGUUACUUGCCUAAAGUUGAGCAGACCAAGGUAAAACAAAAUGUGAUAAUUCUACUGCUCUGAGCAACUUUGGAGCCAACAGCUGAUGAAGUAUUGGAGAUGCAGUGUGGGGUAGUGAGACUCAGAAGACAAAUUCCCACACAGACUCUGUGUGACUUCAAGCAAGACAUGAGAAGAUGAGAUGGCAUGCUGGAAAUUCCCAUGUAGCCUUCCAGAUCCACUCCCUACUCUCCUCCACCCUGCUCUGCACCCCAGCUGCUGACCUGGAGGACCUGAAGCAAGGCACCUUCUCUGUGGCUUCCCACUGAGGUUAUCCAGAGAAACGCAUGGACAGAGAACCAGAAAAGAGAAAAGUCAGGGCCUGUAUUCCCCAGAUGCCUUACUGAU